AUACGUAGGGUGCGAGCGUUGUCCGGAAUUACUGGGCGUAAAGAGCUCGUAGGUGGUUUGUCGCGUCGUCUGUGAAAUUCCGGGGCUUAACUCCGGGCGUGCAGGCGAUACGGGCAUAACUUGAGUACUGUAGGGGAGACUGGAAUUCCUGGUGUAGCGGUGAAAUGCGCAGAUAUCAGGAGGAACACCGGUGGCGAAGGCGGGUCCCUGGGCAGUAAAUGACGCUGAGGAGCGAAAGCAUGGGGAGCGAACAGGAUUAGAUCCCCGGGUAGUCCAUGCCGUAAACGGUGGGCGCUAGGUGUAGGGGUCUUCCACGACUUCUGUGCCGUAGCUAACGCAUUAAGCGCCCCGCCUGGGGAGUACGGCCGCAAGGCUAAAACUCAAAUGAAUUGGCGGGG
rnacentral:rRNA from 1 species